rnacentral:rRNA from 1 species
UACGUAGGGUGCAAGCGUUAAUCGGAAUUACUGGGCGUAAAGCGUGCGCAGGCGGUUAUGCAAGACAGAGGUGGAAUCCCCGGGCUCAACCUGGGAACUGCCUUUGUGACUGCAUGGCUAGAGUACGGUAGAGGGGGAUGGAAUUCCGCGUGUAGCAGUGAAAUGCGUAGAUAUGCGGAGGAACACCGAUGGCGAAGGCAAUCCCCUGGACCUGUACUGACGCUCAUGCACGAAAGCGUGGGGAGCAAACAGGAU